rnacentral:sRNA from 1 species
UAUAAUGAACACGGCCGCACCACAAGUAAAGUCUGAGGAAGGACAGAAAACGCUCUGGAGGCUGGUUCAGUCACCCGUUAUCAGUAAAAAUGGUUGACCCCUAACAAUAUGUACAAAAAUACAAAAUGUAAAUAAGAAAUUCAAACUUUCCUUUUAAAGUAUGUUUAAGAAAAAUAGCAGGGCCUGGGAAGCUCUGGUUCUCUUCUCCUCCCAUGUUGCUAAUUCAUGUCGUGGUUUGGGUGGGGCGGUGGAGAGCAUAUGUUAUCUGUGGGUGGCUCUGCCCUCUGUGGGCGGGCGUGGCCUGCUUCUCUACUCGAAGAAGAUCACAUUAAAAUUCUGAGACUGGAAGUGGAGGGUGAAUAGGUCACGGUGUGUAAAGUCCUUGGUGGUGAUCUCGGAGCUGGUAUCCACUGCGGAGUCUGACAUGGUGGGGCACGCCGAUGGUCCGGUGCUGCGAAUAAGGAAUUAGUCGAGCUCGAGGACUCUGGUGAGAAAGCUACCGGAGUCCAGGUUGGAAAAGGCAGUAGGCGGCGAAGGUGGCUGCAGUGAGCGCAGAGCAAAGAUGGCUUUUCAGUGGGGACUGGCUUUUGAGUAGCCAGCGGGGGCAUAAUGGGCAUCCUUAUGUGCUCAGAGACAAGUCUCUGAAGAGAAAGCUUAUUGCCCAGAGUGAUGGGACCAGAAGGUUGUUGCAGGAGCAUGAACCUGCAAAAGAAGCCCAGAAUAUUCUCUGGCUUCCAGUAUCAGGGGCAAGGCUUGUCUGUGGCCACACCACCCUGGGCUACCCAGUCUUGUUUGAUUUCAUUCCUAAGCAAGAUCAGACCUGGUUAGCAUUUCACUGGGAGACAGAAGCUUUCGCUUCCAUGCACACUCCUAACAUCGGCCAUGCAGCCUCCUGAGUCUGCAUUGUCAACCUCCAGAACUAGGAAACAAAUAAACCUAGAUUUGGGGGGAGUUUUUAGGGGGCAGUGUUUUGCUUUGCUUUGGUAUGGUAUGGUUUGGUUUCAUUUGGUGGGUGCGUGGGUGGUUGGUUGGUUGGUCAUCGGUAGCCAUGAACAGCUGACAAGGAGCAAAACGAUGCAGUCAUCAGUAGUGGUUACAAUGUGGAUCAGGAAACUGGGGUGCGGAGCAAGGAAGCAAAUUCCCCACAUGAGGCUUCUUCCUGCCUGCGUGUCUGACUUGUUCCUAUGCUGGUCCUUAUCUGGUUCACCCCGCCCCACCCACCCGCCAUGACUGUUUCCAGUUCCCUUGUGUUCCAUGCCCUCUCCAGCCUCAGCAUCUCCGGUAAGACCCAGAAUUUCAUGUAACCUAAUUUCACUUCCCGGCUUGGGAUGUGGCUCAUCCCUCCUUCUCAGCCCUGGAAUGCCGCCUAUCUAGUCACAACUCCCCUUCGCAGGAUUACUGAACGAAACAGAAGAACGACACUUCUUCUGUCUAGCACCAGAACCAAGGAAAUGAUCGUCAAAGUAUUUCCAUGCUGUAAUCCCCAGGACAAAGUCUAACUUCAGUUCAAUUAAAACUGACUACUAUAUCUAGGGCCAUGGGUAAGGAAUGUCGAGGAAGUUUUAGAAACGCAACUCUGGAGCUGGGCAUGACAGCACACGCUUGGAUGCAAGGUAGGAGGGUCGUGAGUUCAAAGACAUCCUGAACUACAUAGUGAGUUCGAAGCCUGUAUUGUACAGUAAGACCCUGUCUCAAAAAGGUAGAGGGGGCAAUGAGGGAGGAAGGGAAAAGACAGAAAAUGGCAGGAGGGAAGAGGGGAAGGGAGGAAAGGUCCCAAAUAGAGCAAUGUGCCCAUAACUUUCGGCUAGGAAGGGUUUGGGAUUCUAAGGAUGUAGAUAUUAUUUCAUCUAAUGGCUUCCCAAAAGAAAAUUUACUUACAAAAUAUACCUCAAUCUUUUCUGGUCCACAGCUAUGGAUGGACCUCCUGUGGUUGCCCUAAUUCUAGCAUUCUCAGGCCAACGGAGGCUGAGGCCACGGCCCAUGGUCACUGUGUCAGGCGAGGCUCUGACUAAGAAAGCAAGGAAAACAAGCGGAUGUGCUUGGGCUUCAGUUUCUUUUAACUACACCAUUCCCUGUUCUUAGCCCAGGAUGCCGUCAUCCAGGACUCUGAAAACUCUUCUUUGUCACGAGCUUAGGCAGAAAGUCUCUCCAGCCGUGGGUCAGAAUAAGGAAGACCAGGUUCAAGGAGGCCAAGGCAUGAACCUAGAGUCGCCCAGCUGGUACGUACCAAAGCCAAAUCUCUCCUAAUUAAAAUUCUAUCUAACAAGCCUGCCUCUCAUAAAGAUCAAACCCUCUGAUAGUCUCACUAGCAGGUGUCUUCCAGACUUGCUGAUUGUUCACAAUGGAGCUAAUGGAUGUGCUGCCCAGACAAGUUCCAGGUUCCCCUUAAACAGGUUUUUCACAAGCUUCAAACCAAUUGAGGAGUGUGAAGAAACCAGCGAGAGACACUCCACCCAGCAGCCACUCGAACCAACAGUGGUUUCUGCAGACAGCAGUCUAAUCUCUUGGUCUGGCAAGGCUGGGCAAGAGAUCAUUUUCCAGGCUCACCUGCAAUGCUGAAAUUGGAACAUCUUUUCCCACGCAUGUCCUCAGUACUAGAAAUAGUCCCAGUUCCUGACAUAAAGCAAUCGAAGCCCUAGGGAUUCCCGCAUGAUGGUCAUGUGUGCUUUCGUUCUGCCUGGGCCCUGUGUGUUCACACCCCAGUUUAGGGUGCGAUAUGAACUCAAGCUUCGGGAAAUGCUGGGAUAGCUAGGCGGGGGAUGGGAGGCUUCAGGGGGGGAGUUUGUGGCCAGAGGGAUGGGAUUUUCCAUCCCCACUUCAGGCUCAGGGGAUGGAAUGAAGGCCAGAGACUGGGUUCAGAUCAAUCUUCUCUAUGAAGUACUACCUCCCUAAGAUCCCAAAUGAUAACAUCAGAGAGCUUCAAUCACACAGUUGACAAUCACAUGACGGUCUCAGCCAAGAGAGUCUCAGUCUCAACUCACUGGGAACAGCAGCUAUGGAGCAAGGGCCCUUCUAGGUCACACAUAUACAUUUUCUUCUGACUGUUCAUUUUUAUUCUUUACAAUAACCAAAAAUAUCAAUAAAUAAAACAUUUUCCAAAGUCUUA